rnacentral:rRNA from 1 species
ACGGGAGGCAGCCGUGGGGAAUAUUGGACAAUGGGGGAAACCCUGAUCCAGCGACGCCGCGUGAGUGAAGAAGUAUUUCGGUAUGUAAAGCUCUAUCAGCAGGGAAGCUAAUGACGGUACCUGACUAAGAAGCCCCGGCUAACUCCGUGCCAGCAGCCGCGGUAAUACGUAGGGGGCAAGCGUUAUCCGGAUUUACUGGGUGUAAAGGGAGCGCAGACGGCAUGGCAAGUCUGAUGUGAAAACCCGGGGCUCAACCCCGGGACUGCAUUGGAAACUGUCAGGCUAGAGUGCAGGAGAGGUAAGUGGAAUUCCUAGUGUAGCGGUGAAAUGCGUAGAUAUUAGGAGGGACACCAGUGGCGAAGGCGGCUUACUGGACUGUAACUGACGUUGAGGCUCGAAAGCGUGGGGAGCAGACAGGAUUAGAUACCCUGGUA